rnacentral:rRNA from 1 species
GACGAACGCUGGCGGCGUGCUUAACACAUGCAAGUCGAACGGAAAGGCCCUGCUUUUGUGGGGUGCUCGAGUGGCGAACGGGUGAGUAACACGUGAGUAACCUUCCCUUGACUUUGGGAUAACUUCAGGAAACUGGGGCUAAUACCGGAUAGGAGCUCCUGCUGCAUGGUGGGGGUUGGAAAGUUUCGGCGGUUGGGGAUGGACUCGCGGCUUAUCAGCUUGUUGGUGGGGUAGUGGCUUACCAAGGCUUUGACGGGUAGCCGGCCUGAGAGGGUGACCGGCCACAUUGGGACUGAGAUACGGCGCGGACUCCUACGGGAGGCAGCAGUGGGGAAUAUUGCACAAUGGGCGGAAGCCUGAUGCAGCAACGCCGCGUGCGGGAUGACGGCCUUCGGGUUGUAAACCGCUUUCGCCUGUGACGAAGCGGGAGUGACGGUAAUGGGUAAAGAAGCACCGGCUAACUACGUG